CAGUCGCCGCGGUAAUACGAAGGGGGCUAGCGUUGUUCGGAAUUACUGGGCGUAAAGCGCACGUAGGCGGAUUGUUAAGUCGGGGGUGAAAUCCUGAGGCUCAACCUCAGAACUGCCUUCGAUACUGGCGAUCUUGAGUUCGGAAGAGGUUGGUGGAACAGCUAGUGUAGAGGUGAAAUUCGUAGAUAUUAGCUAGAACACCAGUGGCGAAGGCGGCCAACUGGUCCGACACUGACGCUGAGGUGCGAAAGCGUGGGGAGCAAACAGGAUUAGAUACCCCCGUAGUCCCUGUCUCUUAUAC
rnacentral:rRNA from 1 species